rnacentral:lncRNA from 1 species
AAGUUGUGGGUUUUCUAUACUAGAUAAUGAGAAAUGAUGAACUAAAUAUACAGUAUUUCUACAUUCUUUGGCAUGCACAUGAAAUAAAGUCAUACUUUUUUUCAACAAAUACAACAGCUGCAAAAGCUGGAGUGCAAUGGUGCUAUCUCAGCUCACUGCAACCUCUGCCUCCCGGGUUCAAGCGAUUCUCCUGCCUCAGCCUCCCAAAUAGCUGGGAUCACAGAUAACCCCUGUGAUGUCCUGAGGCAAUCUUCUGUGGGUCCAUUUUCUCCAUCCAUGAGUACGUCUCCACGGUCCUGAGAUUGGGAGCAGAGAUACAAAGUUCUCUGGGAUGUUUUUUUCUCUGUUGGUUUGUCUGUCUCUAACUUUCUUUUAGAACAAUUCUCAAAUCACAUUUCCUCCAAAUAUCUUUCUCUCAUUGCUCUGGGCUACGUAGAAAAAAAAAUGCCCAAUUCUAUUUUGAAGUUCUGAAGAGGAUUGAUUUGUAUCACUUUUUUAGCAUUCAGAACUGACUUAAAAUUCUUAGUCUUCCCUCCAUUUCAAGAUGCUUUCUACCUAGCUGUAUUGCAAACUGCUUAAGG